UACGAAGGGGGCUAGCGUUGUUCGGAGUUACUGGGCGUAAAGCGCACGUAGGCGGAUCGUUAAGUCGGGGGUGAAAUCCUGGAGCUCAACUCCAGAACUGCCUUCGAUACUGGCGAUCUUGAGUCCGGAAGAGGUGAGUGGAACUCCUAGUGUAGAGGUGGAAUUCGUAGAUAUUAGGAAGAACACCAGUGGCGAAGGCGGCUCACUGGUCCGGUACUGACGCUGAGGUGCGAAAGCGUGGGGAGCAAACAGG
rnacentral:rRNA from 1 species